GGAGUUUGGUCCGUGUCUCAGUACCAAUGUGGGGGACCUUCCUCUCAGAACCCCUACUGAUCGUCGGCUAGGUGGGCCGUUACCCCGCCUACUACCUAAUCAGACGCAUCCCCAUCCCAUAGCGAUAAAUCUUUGGUAUUGCUCAGAUGUCCUCAUAAUACAACAUAGGGCAUUAAUCCGACUUUCGCCGGGCUAUUCCCUACUAUGGGGAAGGUUGGAUACGCGUUACUCACCCGUGCGCCGGUCGCCAUCAAAGUUUGCAAGCAAACUUCAUGCUGCCCCUCGACUUGCAUGUGUUAAGCCUGUAGCUAGCGUUCAUC
rnacentral:rRNA from 1 species